UCGAGGAUCUUCGGCAAUGAGCGCAAGCUUGACCGAGCGACGCCGCGUGUGCGAUGAAGGCCUUCGGGUUGUAAAGCACUUUAGGGGGGGAGAAAAGCCGAAAGGUGUGAUCUAUCCCCAAAAUAAGCACGGGCUAAGUUCGUGCCAGCAGCCGCGGUAAGACGAACCGUGCGAACGUUGUUCGGAAUCACUGGGCUUAAAGGGAGCGUAGGCGGGCUAUCAAGUCUGGGGUGAAUCCCACGGCUCAACCGUGGAACUGCCUUAGAUACUGACGGCCUCGAGGGAGAUAGGGGCAUGCGGAACUGUAGGUGGAGCGGUGAAAUGCGUUGAUAUCUACAGGAACUCCGGUGGCGAAAGCGGCGUGCUGGAUCUCUUCUGACGCUGAGGCUCGAAAGCGUAGGGGAGCAAACGGGGAUUAGAGUACCCCCGGUAGUCCUAGCCCUAAACGAUGGGUACUAGAUAGUAGGCUGGAUAUGGGCUUACUGUCGAAGCUAAAGUGC
rnacentral:rRNA from 1 species